rnacentral:lncRNA from 1 species
CCGGUGUACGAGUCACAAACGAUUGGAGCCUAUCACGGUGGAAGGCCACGAAAGAGUGUUCAAAGCACUUUCACGCUUCUCAACUUAAUAAUGGUUUGGUUGAGGGUUUUUAGGUCUCAUCACAUAUAAAUAUUCAUUUUAAUCUUUAUUAAAACAAUUUUGAUCCUAUUACAACUAUUGGCCCAUUUGAUUGAAUUUAGUUGUAUAUAAUACUCCCACUAUGCUUAUAAAACGGUUUUUAAAGCAAGAGUAUAUGAUACUACUAACAUAAACUUUGCAUUCAUUUGAUGGACUAUAUAGUUGCCUUAGGGCCUUAGGAUGACUAUGAACCUUUGAUUCGAUCCAACACGAGCCUAGUGUUGAAUCUCGGUCUAGGGAUGGUGAUUGAUUUUAGUUACGCGUUUAAUCACAUUAAGGUGUGUUGUCUUAGGGGCGUUGGACCCUCUACUCCAUUUUCAUGCAUAUCAAAUAAUACAAGAAAGGAGUACUUCAAAGUAAAGAUGAGCUUAUGCUCUUUACAACAUUUGAAUAAAACAAAUUACUUUAAAGUAAAGAAGAGCUUAUGCUCUUUUACAACAUUUGAUCAAAUCAAAUUACAACCAAAAUCUAAUCUACACAUUCCCAUGGUUCAAACAAAUUUGAAACGGCCUUUCACAUAGCUCAAUUAUCGUAGGCUUAGGUUCAUAAUCACCCUUUAAUUAAUUAACACUUUAACUAAUUAAUUGAAUGUAACAUUUUCAUUUGGUUUUUGUAUCCAUAAAAUUUAUUUAAAUGGAGCUAAAUGGAAUGAAAAUCCAAUUCUCAUUUAAAGAGACAAAACAAUUUUGUUCUCAACUUAAUUUGGGCCAAAAUGCAAUAACCUCAACUUUUGGGCUAUAUUGCAAAAACUUAAACUUUUGGGGUCACUUUGUAAAAACACAAAACUCCACUACUUCAUGUAAUCACAACUAGAACCCAAAAAUUUCAACAAAUUGAAAAACAUCAUUAAAGGAACAAAACAAUUUGUCCUUUAGCGUUUUUGGACCUAAACGUAAAAACGUAAACUUUUGGGCCAAAGUGCAAAUACACAAAAGUAUCAAAACUUUAUGUAAUUGCAUAAAAGCCCCAAAAGUACCCUAUUUUAAUAGGGUGGCCGGUUUUAGAUAGAAGGGAGUGAUGUGUGUGUUGAUUUGUAGUUUUAGACAUAAAGCAUGCAAGUGGUGCAUGACAUAAAUGUCAUGCAAGUGGUGUGUGUGAAAGGGAAUUAAUCCUUACACACCCACCAAUAUUUCUUACACCUUUCUAAAUAAAUAUCUAAUACAUUUAAACAUAUGAAAAACAUAAAACAUAAACUUUAUGAAAUAAAUCAAAACUUUGAAUCAAAACACCAAACUUUUUGUUAUUGGCAAAAAUGUCAAGAACAAUGAAGAACACUCAUGAAAAACUCAAAAAAUUUCCAUGAACA